rnacentral:rRNA from 1 species
UACAUAGGGAGCAAGCGUUAUCCGGAUUUAUUGGGUUUAAAGGGUGCGUAGGCGGCAGAUUAAGUUAGAGGUGAAAUUCCGAGGCUCAACCUUGGCACUGCCUCUGAUACUGGUUUGCUAGCGAGUAGAUGCUGUAGGCGGAAUGUGUGGUGUAGCGGUGAAAUGCAUAGAGAUCACACAGAACACCGAUUGCGAAGGCAGCUUACAAAUCUAUAUCGGACGCUGAGGCACGAAAGCGUGGGGAGCAAACAGG